GACAGAGGGGGCAAGCGUUGCUCGGAAUUACUGGGCGUAAAGGGCGCGUAGGCGGCGGGGUAAGUCUGGUGUGAAAUCUCGGAGCUCAACUCCGAAAUUGCACUGGAUACUGCUCUGCUUGAGGGUUGGAGAGGAGAUCGGAAUUCACGGUGUAGCAGUGAAAUGCGUAGAUAUCGUGAGGAAGACCAGUGGCGAAGGCGGAUCUCUGGACAAAUCCUGACGCUGAGGCGCGAAGGCUAGGGGAGCAAACGGG
rnacentral:rRNA from 1 species